rnacentral:rRNA from 1 species
GACGAACGCUGGCGGCGUGCCUAAUACAUGCAAGUUGAGCGAUGAAGAUUGGUGCUUGCACCAAUUUGAAGAGCAGCGAACGGGUGAGUAACGCGUGGGGAAUCUGCCUUUGAGCGGGGGACAACAUUUGGAAACGAAUGCUAAUACCGCAUAAUAACUUUAAACAUAAGUUUUAAGUUUGAAAGAUGCAAUUGCAUCACUCAAAGAUGAUCCCGCGUUGUAUUAGCUAGUUGGUGAGGUAAAGGCUCACCAAGGCGAUGAUACAUAGCCGACCUGAGAGGGUGAUCGGCCACAUUGGGACUGAGACACGGCCCAAACUCCUACGGGAGGCAGCAGUAGGGAAUCUUCGGCAAUGGACGAAAGUCUGACCGAGCAACGCCGCGUGAGUGAAGAAGGUUUUCGGAUCGUAAAACUCUGUUGGUAGAGAAGAACGUUGGUGAGAGUGGAAAGCUCAUCAAGUGACGGUAACUACCCAGAAAGGGACGGCUAACUACGU